GAUGAACGCUGGCGGCGUGCCUAAUACAUGCAAGUCGAGCGAACGGACGAGAAGCUUGCUUCUCUAAUGUUAGCGGCGGACGGGUGAGUAACACGUGGAUAACCUACCUAUAAGACUGGGAUAACUUCGGGAAACCGUAGCUAAUACCGGAUAAUAUUUUGAACCGCAUGGUUCAAAAGUGAAAGACGGUCUUGCUGUCACUUAUAGAUGGAUCCGCGCUGCAUUAGCUAGUUGGUAAGGUAACGGCUUACCAAGGCAACGAUGCAUAGCCGACCUGAGAGGGUGAUCGGCCACACUGGAACUGAGACACGGUCCAGACUCCUACGGGAGGCAGCAGUAGGGAAUCCUACGCAAUGGGCGAAAGCCUGACGGAGCAACGCCGCGGGAGUGAUGAAGGUGUUCGGAUCGGAAAACUCUGUUAGUAGGGAAGAACAUAUGUGUAAGUAACUGUGCACAUCUUGACGGUACCUAAUCAGAAAGCCACGGCUAACUACGUG
rnacentral:rRNA from 1 species